CUUCCAUAGCUGUAAACUUCUGCUUGGCCCAGCAGGAGUGAGGGUAGAGGGGAGUAGGGCUCAAGGUGCCCUCGCUACCUAGUAGAUGGUAGGAGAGCAUGACCAAAAGCCAAAGAGCUGUUUACAUGACUGGGUUCUCCCUGUGGCCUUCUGAGAUUGCAGGAGAUGGAAAGGGGGAGACCGGAUCCUAGGGGAACCCAAUAUUCAGGUUUUCCUGGGUUCCUGAGAUGCAAGAUUUCCAAUUUUAACACAUGGGAAGUUGUAGGCAGACUGGGAUGAGUUGGUCACCUGGGUCUUCCACAGCUCCCAGUCUGAGAAAAUGAGACUCACCCAGUAAUAAGCAGAAGAUUUGGCUGGGUGAGGUGGCUCAUGCCUGUAAUCCCAGCACUUUGGGAGGCUGAGACAGGCAGAUCACAAGGUCAGGAGUUUGAGACCAGCCUGGCCAAGAUGGUGAAACCCCAUCUCUACUAAAGAUAUAAAAAUUAGCUGGGCGUGGUGGUGGGUGCCUGUAGUCCCAGCUACUUGGGAGGCUGAGGCAGGAAAAUCACUUGAACCCGGGAAGCGGAGGUUGCAGUGAGCCGAGAUCGUGCCACUGCACUCCAGCCUGAAGACAGAACAAGACUCCAUCUUAAAAAAAAAAAAUGCAGAAGAUACUAUGGAAUGGGCCAGGAGAAAAAGGAAGGAUCAGGGAUGGGAGAGACACGGUCUUCUGCUCAACUCAGGUACCAGCUGACACCCACCCAGUCCCUGGUGUUGCCUUCAGGAGCAGUGGCAAGAUGGAAGCUGGUUGGGGAAGGGGAUCCUAGAGCAGGGGGGAGGAGGAGAGAAUGGAAUGGCUGGACUUUGAGAUGAGAAGACAGUUGGAUGGGGAGGAGGCACCAUUUGCUGGAACUGAAGGGUUCUCAGUAGGGGCUUGAGGCAGGAUGUAUCUGUGAUAUCCGGACCUCUGGAGUCCCUUAAGCACAAGGAAGCAAGUGUGUGGCAGUGAAGACAUUCUGCCUUGGGCCCAAGCCCAAGACAGGUCUCCCUGAGCCCUGGGCAGACCAUCCGACCUAUGGUCAUUGGAAGGACCCACCUCCUCCCUAUCCCGGGCCUGUGUAAACGCCAGGAAGUCAGGUCCCUUUCUCCAUGCAGGCCCUGACUGGGGCAGUCAGCACCAUUAAGUUCUUCCUCUCUGAGGCUUUACUGGGUCAACACUUCGAGGCUGUGUAGUUGGAGGGCAGGGAGCCUGAGCCAGGAGACGUCUUCCUGUUCAGGCUGAUGCCCCCACCUAACGCUGGUGCGGGGCCCACGUGGGCAUAUACUGUGGCCAUGGAGAGAUCAUCCACUUUGAGGGUGAGUGCCUCCAGCAGAAACACAGGCCCAAGUCUGCGGAGAGGCUGCCCAGCCAAGCCACGCCCCACCAGUGAGCUGGCUACUCGGGGAUAAAGACUGAAGUCCCAGGCUGGGGGUACGUUUCUCUGAAAAUAGGGUUUGGGCACUCAGGGUCCCUGAGGUCUCGGGAAAUGGGGGUGCGGGAUCACAGGGCAUAGGACCUAAGCCUGGCUCUGAUCCGCACCCCUCUGGCGAUCCCCGCAGGCAAGAACUCAGGAGGCUGUGGGCUCCUGGGAAGUUUCUGGGCUCCUGGAAAGGCAUCGUAUCCAAACAGGGGCAGCGCCCGCCGCUGCGCUCCUGCUGGCGCGUGCUGCGCAGAGUGAGCGAAGCGAUGGACGCGGACCCACCAUCCUAUCACUCCAUGCGCAGAAACUGUGUGCACUUUGCACUGUGUCUGCUCGUCCCAGGUCCCAGCCUGGACCCCCGGCAAAUGGACGGGAGCUCCAGCAGCUCGGUGUCAGUGGACGUGGAUGUGUCCCCGGAUUAAGCAUGACCUCGGCCCUCCUGGAUGGACGUGGAGGCUUCAGAAAGAUUCAUUAAACUACUUUCCAAAGCUUAAUUAGAUGUUCACCGUCCUCUGUAUCCUGU